rnacentral:ncRNA from 12 species
GGGUGUUAGCUGCAUGCCGCAGCGGGACAGGUUCAUGCGUCGGUCGGGCCGCCACG